GAUGAAGAACGUAGCAAAAUGCGAUAAGUAAUGUGAAUUGCAGAAUUCAGUUAAUCAUCGAAUCUUUGAACGCACAUUGCGCCCGCCAGUAUUCUGGCGGGCAUGCCUGUUCGAGCGUCAUUUCAACCCUCAAGCCCUCGGGUUUGGUGUUGGGGAUCGGCGAGCCUUUCUGGCAAGCCGGCCCCGAAAUCUAGUGGCGGUCUCGCUGCAGCCUCCAUUGCGUAGUAGUAAAACCCUCGCAACUGGAACGCGGCGCGGCCAAGCCGUUAAACCCCCAACUUCUGAAUGUUGACCUCGGAUCAGGUAGGAAUACCCGCUGAACUUAAGCAUAUCAAAAGCGGAGGA
rnacentral:misc_RNA from 1 species